GGUGCUAAUACCGAAUAUUGAAACAUAAGUGGCAUCUCUGAGUUUUGAAAGAUUUUCCGUGGAGGAUGACUUCGCGGCCUAUCAUGUAAUUGAUGAGGUAAUGGCUCACCAAGGCGAGGACGGGUAGCCGGCCUGAGAGGGCGACCGGCCACACUGGGACUGAUACCCGGCCCAUACUCCUACGGGAGGCAGAAGUGGGGAAUAUUGGGCAAUGUAAGAAACUCUGACCCAGAGACGCCGCGUGUUGGAUGAAGGCCUUCGGGUUGUAAACCGCUUUCAGUAGGGAAGAAGCGAAAGUGACGGUACCUACAAAAGAAUUACCGGCUAACUAUGUGCCAGCAGCCGCGGUAAUACAUAGGGUGCGAGCGUUGUCCGGAAUUAUUGGGCGUAAAGAGCUCGUAGGUCGUUUGUUACGUCGGAUGUGAAAACCUGAGGCUCAACCUCAGGCCUGCAUUCGAUACGGGCAAACUAUAGUUUGGUAGGGGAGACUGGAAUUCCUGGUGUAUCGGUGGAAUGCGCAGAUAUCAGGAGGAACACCAAUGGCGAAGGCAGGUCUCUGGGGCAAUACUGACACUGAGGAGCGAAAGUCUGG
rnacentral:rRNA from 1 species